GUGUCAGCAGCCGCGGUAAUACGGAGGGUGCAAGCGUUGUUCGGAAUCAUUGGGCGUAAAGCGCGUGUAGGCGGCUUUUUAAGUUUGGUGUGAAAGCCCGGGGCUUAACCCCGGAAGUGCACUGAAUACUGAUUAGCUAGAGGGUGAGAGAGGAUAGUGGAAUUCCUGGUGUAGGGGUGAAAUCCGUAGAUAUCAGGAGGAACAUCUGUGGCGAAGGCGGCUAUCUGGCUCACUUCUGACGCUGAGACGCGAAAGCGUGGGGAGCAAACAGGAUUAGAAACCCUCGUAGUCC
rnacentral:rRNA from 1 species